AACAGGAUUAGAUACCCUGGUAGUCCACGCUGUAAACGAUGUCGACUUGGAGGUUGUGCCCUUGAGGCGUGGCUUCCGGAGCUAACGCGUUAAGUCGACCGCCUGGGGAGUACGGCCGCAAGGUUAAAACUCAAAUGAAUUGACGGGGGCCCGCACAAGCGGUGGAGCAUGUGGUUUAAUUCGACGCAACGCGAAGAACCUUACCUACUCUUGACAUCCAGAGAAUUUGCUAGAGAUAGCUUAGUGCCUUCGGGAACUCUGAGACAGGUGCUGCAUGGCUGUCGUCAGCUCGUGUUGUGAAAUGUUGGGUUAAGUCCCGCAACGAGCGCAACCCUUAUCCUUUGUUGCCAGCACGUAAUGGUGGGAACUCAAAGGAGACUGCCGGUGAUAAACCGGAGGAAGGUGGGGAUGACGUCAAGUCAUCAUGGCCCUUACGAGUAGGGCUACACACGUGCUACAAUGGCAUAUACAAAGAGAAGCGAACUCGCGAGAGCAAGCGGACCUCAUAAAGUAUGUCGUAGUCCGGAUUGGAGUCUGCAACUCGACUCCAUGAAGUCGGAAUCGCUAGUAAUCGUAGAUCAGAAUGCUACGGUGAAUACGUUCCCGGGCCUUGUACACACCGCCCGUCACACCAUGGGAGUGGGUUGCAAAAGAAGUAGGUAGCUUAACCUUCGGGAGGGCGCUUACCACUUUGUGAUUCAUGACUGGGGUGAAGUCGUAACAAGGUAACC
rnacentral:rRNA from 1 species